CAGGUCUUGACAUCCUCUGACAAUCCUAGAGAUAGGACGUUCCCCUUCGGGGGACAGAGUGACAGGUGGUGCAUGGUUGUCGUCAGCUCGUGUCGUGAGAUGUUGGGUUAAGUCCCGCAACGAGCGCAACCCUUGAUNUUAGUUGCCAGCAUUUAGUUGGGCACUCUAAGGUGACUGCCGGUGACAAACCGGAGGAAGGUGGGGAUGACGUCAAAUCAUCAUGCCCCUUAUGACCUGGGCUACACACGUGCUACAAUGGAUGGUACAAAGAGCUGCAAACCCGCGAGGGUAAGCGAAUCUCAUAAAGCCAUUCUCAGUUCGGAUUGUAGGCUGCAACUCGCCUACAUGAAGCCGGAAUCGCUAGUAAUCGCGGAUCAGCAUGCCGCGGUGAAUACGUUCCC
rnacentral:rRNA from 1 species